UACAGAGGGGGCAAGCGUUAUUCGGAAUUAUUGGGCGUAAAGAGCUCGUAGGCGGUUUGUUGCGUCGGCUGUGAAAUCCCGAGGCUCAACCUCGGGUCUGCAGUCGAUACGAGCAAACUAGAGUGUUGCAGGGGAGACUGGAAUUCCUGGUGUAGCGGUGAAAUGCGCAGAUAUCAGGAGGAACACCGGUGGCGAAAGCGCUCUGCUGGACCUUAACUGACACUGAGGGACGAAAGCUAGGGGAGCGAAUGGG
rnacentral:rRNA from 1 species